CUUAUCAAAAAUCAGAGUAGAGGCAAGGUGAUACCUAUGCUAAUGUGACUCUCAGUUGCAUUAUGACAUCAUUCUUUUUUCUUUUUUUUUUUUGGUGAGGAAGAUUGGCCCUGAGCUAAGAUCUUUUGCCAAACUUCCCCUCAUUUGGUUGAGGAAGAUUGGCCCUGAGCUAACGUCUGUUGCCAAUCUUCCUAUUUUGCUUGAGGAAGAUUGUCGCUGAGCUAGUAUCUGUGCCAGUCUUCCUCUAUUUUGUAUAUGGGACGUCACCGCAGCAUGGCUUGAUGAGCAGGGUGUUGGUCCACACCUGGAAUCGGAACCCAGGAACCCUGGGCCACCGAAGUGGAGCACACAAACUUAACCACUAUGCCAAGGGGCCAGCCCCACUGUGACAUCAUUCUUGAGCUGUGGAGAGAGAGAUGCUGCCAUAUUGCUCCCUCCAACAUUGUAUACAACUCUGGCUAUGCCCAUGGGAGAGCCUCAUUCAGAAAUUGCUGGACUCAGCUGAGACUUGAAGACAGGGAGCAAUGGUCAGAGAUACAGCUGAAAGAAAAAAAGCCCUGACUUUUCAGUUCCCUGAGGGCUGCUUCUGAUCAUUCUCGUGGAAGAAGAUACUAUGACCUAGUAAAGAGCUUUGGGAGCUCUGCAAGAAAGAUGUCCCACACCAGCGAUGCUAUAAUGUACGUUCUGAUUUUGUUAAUACAUGUAGCUUGUUGCCUUUUCCUGGAUGAGUUAAUGUUCCUGUGCUCCCUUAAUACCUAAAUCACAAUAGUUACUAACCUUUGUUGCGCACUUACUGCAUGUUGGGUGCUGUUCUAAACAUUUCACAUGUAUUAACGCAUUUAAUCCAAACAAUAAUCUGUGAGGUUGGUGAGAAGAUUGCAACACAGCAAGUUGAAGUAACUUGCCCCAGAUCACACAGCUGCUAAAUGGUAAGCUGGAAUGUGAACUGAGGCCAUCUGCUGCCAGAGUUCAUGCACAUGAACAAUACAGAGACUGUCUUCCCAAGUGCUUUCAUGUCACUUCUUUCCCCGUUGUGUAGAAAUCCUUUAAUGGCGGGUUUCUUCAUCUGCCUCUCCCACCAAAUUGUGAGCCUCUUGAGGGCAUGAGCCAUAUCUUCACUGAUUCCCCAGCUCUUGUCACAGUAGCUGGCACACAGUAGGUGUUUAAUCCACAUUGAGGAAAUGAAUGAAUGAUUAACCACAUUGAGGGAGCAAUUUAGGCAGAAGAUAUUCUCUUGGAUUUGAGUGAAAGGACAGGAAGCAGAGGAAUUAUGUCUGCUGAGGGCUCUUGUAACUGGUCAAGAUCCCUUCAGAAGCAGCCUCGACUUUUCCAGAUCCAAUGGCUCUGAGAUGGUGAAACUGGAGCCCUCCUC
rnacentral:lncRNA from 1 species